rnacentral:sRNA from 1 species
UGUAUCUGAAGUCUGAAGAGGAUGAGAACCUCCGGGGGCAAGAGGUUCGACUCGAGCGACGCGAGAGAACGUUGCGUCAGCAACGGCCCGCAGGGCGAGCCAC